rnacentral:rRNA from 1 species
UACGAAGGGGGCUAGCGUUGCUCGGAAUCACUGGGCGUAAAGCGCACGUAGGCGGAUUGCUAAGUCAGGGGUGAAAUCCUGGAGCUCAACUCCAGAACUGCCUUUGAUACUGGCGACCUUGAGUCCGGGAGAGGUGAGUGGAACUGCGAGUGUAGAGGUGAAAUUCGUAGAUAUUCGCAAGAACACCAGUGGCGAAGGCGGCUAACUGGUCCGGUACUGACGCUGAGGUGCGAAAGCGUGGGGAGCAAACAGG